UGGUUUUCAGUUUCAACUUUCUGUCACUGUUUUGGCGUAGGGAGGAGGGGCCUGAGGGGAGGGACAAAGAGGGCGUGGUUUACAGGUAAUUUGCAUAUGAUUUGCAUACUGUGAGAGACUGCACCUCCACAGGCAUCCUCACAGAUUACCUAUAUCUGCAAUGGCUUCCACAAGUUCACCUGGAACCUCCAAAUCUAAGAUAUACAAGAUCUUUUCUUGGAGGGGGACCAUGACAGAGUGACAGAAGAGUCUGCCAGUGGAGUACUUUUACCACCCAUCCAGUGCCCUCUGAGGCUGCAGACCAUGGCAGAACUGAGGGCAGCCAUUUACCCUGUGACUAACUCCUAGUACAAUGGCGGAUAGCUUUGCAAGACUGCACUUAACUAUGUGAUUCUUCACACAUAAACAUGGCAGG